UGAUGGGUAUAGAUUAAAUGAUGAUAGGCUAACAUGUCUACUAGUGAAAGAUGUAUGCAGUGAUUUUGAGAAACUGAACUGCUCUCAAGGAUGCACAGUAGACUUUCAACAGAACACUUCAUAUUGGUUUUGUGCUGAUGGUUACAAUCUAGUUGGCAAAGACACAUGUGAAGACAUCAAUGAAUGUGAAGUAUCAACAAAGAACUUGUGCAGCUUCAAGUCUGGAUGUGUUAACAGAGUACCAGGAUACAGCUGUUCAUGUCCCCCUGGGUCAAGUUUGGACAAUGAUGGACUCAACUGCAAUAGUAUAACAAAUCUUAAAUACUAUUUAUAAAACAAUGGUUAAAAACUCUUAUGGAAAUGCUUUCAAAUGCUUUUUUUGGUGAUCUGUGAGAUUUUUUAAAUAGAAAUGUUUCAUUUCUUGUUAUGUUAUAUUGAUUUUUUUUACAAAGCUUAUAUCAACUCAUUCUGUCUGUCUUUCUGGUAAAAAGUUAUUUCUCCCAUACCCAAUCUCGGAUCAAGCUUAUUUCUUUUACCUGACAA